rnacentral:rRNA from 1 species
CAGUAGCCGCGGUAAUACGGAGGGUGCAAGCGUUAAUCGGAAUUACUGGGCGUAAAGCGUGCGUAGGCGGUUCGUUAAGUCUGUUGUGAAAGCCCCGGGCUCAACCUGGGAAUGGCAAUGGAUACUGGCGAGCUAGAGUGUGUCAGAGGAUGGUGGAAUUCCCGGUGUAGCGGUGAAAUGCGUAGAGAUCGGGAGGAACAUCAGUGGCGAAGGCGGCCAUCUGGGACAACACUGACGCUGAGGCAUGAAAGCGUGGGGAGCAAACAGGAUUAGAUACCCGCGUAGUCCCUGUCUCUUAUAC